UACGUAGGGGGCUAGCGUUGUCCGGAAUCAUUGGGCGUAAAGCGCGUGUAGGCGGCCCGGUAAGUCCGCUGUGAAAGUCGGGGGCUCAACCCUCGAAAGCCGGUGGAUACUGUCGGGCUAGAGUACGGAAGAGGCGAGUGGAAUUCCUGGUGUAGCGGUGAAAUGCGCAGAUAUCAGGAGGAACACCCAUUGCGAAGGCAGCUCGCUGGGACGUUACUGACGCUGAGGUGCGAAAGCGUGGGGAGCAAACAGG
rnacentral:rRNA from 1 species